rnacentral:sRNA from 1 species
CUAACAGCACCGGAGACUCAAUUUCUCUGUUUAUCCCUAGAACAGAUACAGCAUUGGCAACAUUAGCAUAAACUUGUUCACACUUCCCUGCUAGUGUGCUUGGACAAUGAUGAGAAGGGACCAUCUCUAGGGUGGAGAGGAUAGUUCAGCCCCCAUUUCCCCCCUUAUUCCUUGCCUGCC